UACGUAGGGUGCAAGCGUUUAAUCGGAAUUACUGGGCGUAAAGCGUGCGCAGGCGGCUUUGCAAGACAGAUGUGAAAUCCCCCGGGCUUAACCUGGGGAACUGCAUUUUGUGACUGCAUGGCUCGAGUGCGGCAGAGGGGGGAUGGAAUUCCGCGUGUAGCAGUGAAAUGCGUAGAUAUGCGGAGGAACACCGAUGGCGAAGGCAAUCCCCUGGGCCUGCACUGACGCUCAUGCACGAAAGCGUGGGGAGCAAACAGG
rnacentral:rRNA from 1 species